rnacentral:rRNA from 2 species
CUACCACUUACAGAUGGACCCGCGGCGCAUUAGCUAGUUGGUGAGGUAACGGCUCACCAAGGCGACGAUGCGUAGCCGACCUGAGAGGGUGAUCGGCCACACUGGGACUGAGACACGGCCCAGACUCCUACGGGAGGCAGCAGUAGGGAAUCUUCCGCAAUGGACGAAAGUCUGACGGAGCAACGCCGCGUGAGUGAUGAAGGUUUUCGGAUCGUAAAGCUCUGUUGUUAGGGAAGAACAAGUGCCGUUCAAAUAGGGCGGCACCUUGACGGUACCUAACCAGAAAGCCACGGCUAACUACGUGCCAGCAGCCGCGGUAAUACGUAGGUGGCAAGCGUUGUCCGGAAUUAUUGGGCGUAAAGGGCUCGCAGGCGGUUUCUUAAGUCUGAUGUGAAAGCCCCCGGCUCAACCGGGGAGGGUCAUUGGAAACUGGGGAACUUGAGUG